ACCCACUACCUUCAAAAGGCCUAAAAGAGAAUAAAAGGCCUGAGGAAAACAAGUAUGCUGGAUUUCUGAGAACUGAACUCUGUGGCAUCUCCACCAUGGCCUGGCCCUUCCUCCUGCUCACCAUUCUCUCUCUCUGCACAGGUUCCACGGCCUCCUAUAUACUGACUCAACCUCCCUCAGUAUCAGUGGCCCUUGGUCAAAAGGCAACAAUCACCUGCUCUGGAGAUAAACUCUCAGAUAAGUAUGUUCACUGGUACCAGCAGAAGCCAGGCCAGGCCCCUGUGCUGGUCAUAUACAGAGAUAGUAAUCAGGCCUCUGGCAUCUCAGACAACUUCUCUGGAUCCAACUCAGGGAACAAGGCCAUCCUGACCAUCAGCAAAGUCCAGGAUGAAGAUGAGGCUGACUAUUACUGUCAGUGUUGGCAUAGCACUGAUAGUGCUCACAAUAACACAGGCAGAUGAGGAACUAAGACACAAACCCUUUCUU